GAUAAACGCUGGCGGUGUGCCUUAUGCAUGCAAGUCGAGCGCCCUGACGCAAGUCGGGGAGCGGCAAACGGGUGCGUAAUACAUAGGUAACCUGCCCUUAAGUGGGGAACAACUCUGAGAAAUCGGGGCUGAUACCGCAUGUGGCCCUUCAUCGCAAGGUGGAGGACUAAAGCCUUCGGGCGCUUGAGGAGGGGCCUAUGUCCUAUCAGGUAGUUGGUGGGGUAACGGCCUACCAAGCCUAUGACGGGUAGCUGGUCUGAGAGGAUGGUCAGCCACACUGGGACUGAGACACGGCCCAGACUCCUACGGGAGGCAGCAGCAAGGAAUAUUGUGCAAUGGGCGAAAGCCUGACACAGCGACACCGCGUGAGGGAAGAAGGCCUUCGGGUCGUAAACCUCUUUUCUCAGGGAAGAAAAAUGACGGUACCUGGGGAAUAAGUCACGGCUAACUACGUGCCAGCCGCCGCCGUAACAC
rnacentral:rRNA from 1 species